rnacentral:rRNA from 1 species
UACAGAGGGUGCGAGCGUUAAUCGGAAUUACUGGGCGUAAAGCGUGCGCAGGUGGUUAUACAAGACCGACGUGAAAUCCCCGGGCUCAACCUGGGAAUGGCGUUGGUGACUGUAUGACUAGAGUGUGGCAGAGGGGGGUGGAAUUCCACGUGUAGCAGUGAAAUGCGUAGAGAUGUGGAGGAACACCGAUGGCGAAGGCAGCCCCCUGGGCUAACACUGACACUCAUGCACGAAAGCGUGGGGAGCAAACAGG